rnacentral:misc_RNA from 1 species
UUUCCGUAGGUGAACCUGCGGAAGGAUCAUUAAAGAGAUUUGGGCGCCUCACGGCCCCGACCUCCAACCCUUGAAGUCGUAAAAACACCGUUGCUUCGGCGGGACGGCCCCUUCCUCCACCGGGGAUGGGCCCGCCCGGUCACCAUCCGGGCGAGCGCCCGCCGGGGUCAAAAUCAACUCUUGCUCAAUCGUGCGUCAGAGUGAAUGAAAAAUAAUCAAUCAAAACUUUCAACAACGGAUCUCUUGGUUCUGGCAUCGAUGAAGAACGCAGC